rnacentral:rRNA from 1 species
UGGGGAAUUUUCCGCAAUGGGCGAAAGCCUGACGGAGCAAUACCGCGUGAGGGAAGAAUGCCUAUGGGUUGUAAACCUCUUUUUUCAGGGAGGAAUAAAAUGACGUGUACCUGAAGAAUAAGCAUCGGCUAACUCCGUGCCAGCAGCCGCGGUAAGACGGAGGAUGCAAGUGUUAUCCGGAAUUAUUGGGCGUAAAGCGUCCGCAGGUGGUUUUACAAGUCUGCUGUCAAAGCGUGGAGCUUAACUCCAUAACGGCGGUGGAAACUGUAAGACUAGAGGUCAGUAGGGGUCACGGGAAUUCCCAGUGUAGCGGUGAAAUGCGUAGAUAUUGGGAAGAACACCAGCGGCGAAAGCGCGUGACUGGGCUGAUUCUGACACUCAUGGACGAAAGCUAGGGGAG